GAUGAACGCUGGCGGCGUGCCUAAUACAUGCAAGUCGAGCGAACAGACGAGGAGCUUGCUCCUCUGACGUUAGCGGCGGACGGGUGAGUAACACGUGGAUAACCUACCUAUAAGACUGGGAUAACUUCGGGAAACCGGAGCUAAUACCGGAUAAUAUAUUGAACCGCAUGGUUCAAUAGUGAAAGACGGUUUUGCUGUCACUUAUAGAUGGAUCCGCGCCGCAUUAGCUAGUUGGUAAGGUAACGGCUUACCAAGGCAACGAGGCGUAGCCGACCUGAGAGGGUGAUCGGCCACACUGGAACUGAGACACGGUCCAGACUCCUACGGGAGGCAGCAGUAGGGAAUCUUCCGCAAUGGGCGAAAGCCUGACGGAGCAACGCCGCGUGAGUGAUGAAGGUCUUCGGAGCGUAAAACUCUGUUAUUAGGGAAGAACAAAUGUGUAAGUAACUAUGCACGUCUUGACGGUACCUAAUCAGAAAGCCACGGCUAACUACGUG
rnacentral:rRNA from 1 species